AAGAAAAAAAGAGAAAUCAUGGUCCAAAGGAAGAAAUUGUGGUCAAAACCGAUUUAGAGAUAAAACUAUGGUUUUUUUUAGCAAGAGGAGAUUGUGAUUGAGAGUGAGACGAGAUUGCGAGUGCAUUAAUCAUUCCUUCUGAUCAGAUAAGAUGCCUUACAGCUACACCCAGCCAUCAACCAUUGUCUCAACUGUAAGGCAAUAAUCGAUUCAUGCCGAGUGAACCACCUAACGUGUCCUGGGAGGCUGUUUAACGCAUGUUCAAACAUUGAUGAUGGAGAGUGCUAUAUUGGAAGUGGUUUGAUGAGGCUAUGAUCGAAUGAUCGAAUAAUAGUAUUUUCAGCUGCAAAAAUAUAAUAAAUAUCAAUAACCAACCCACUCUAGGCAAAAACAGAAGCUCGUCCUCCAUCUUUGGACUGUUUCUGUUUUUGCUUAGCUAGACUUGUUAGCUCACAACAUUUUAUUAGGACUUUUUGUAGAUGAAGGUAAACCAUGUUUGAUAUUUAGACUCAUUAUCUUCAUAAAAAUCUUCUUAGUCCGUGCUUAACUAAAACAAUUUAAAGCUUGGGAGGUUUCACAAUUUUCUUGUAGAAGCUUGUCAUAAGUUAGAAACUUGAUCUUCUAGUCAAAUGUUUUAUAGCAAUACAUGCUGGUAAGUAAGCGACAAUGUAACAAAUCUGGUUUCUCCUUCCUACAAAACACACACAUGAUAAUACAAAGACAUGUUUCAUUCAUUUGUCAUCACUUCCUGCUAAUUUCUGGUGAGUUAGAAACUUGAUCUUCUAGUCAAAUGUUUUAUAGCAAUACAUGCUGGUAAGU